CAAACCUCAUCUUGAAUUAUAACUCCCACAAUUUCCACAUUUUGUGGGAGGAACCUGGUGGGAAGUAAUUGAAUCAUGGGGGCAGGUCUUUCCCAUGCUGUUCUCAUGAUAGUGAAUAAGUCUCAUGAGGUAUGGUGCUUUUAAAAACGGGAGUUUCCCUGCACAAACUCUCUCUCUCUUUGCCUGCUGCCAUCCAUGUAGACGUGACUUGCUCCUCCUUGCCUUCAGCCAUGAUUGUGAGACCUUGCCAGCCACUUGGAACAGAAUGUUAUGAGGAAUGAAAUGAGAAUUAUAUCUAUCAAGAACUCGACAUAGAGUCAGAGGAUAUGUAAUGACUUAAGAUACCAACUCCACAUUCUGUGGUAAGAGAUGAAGAUCCAGGAAAUGUAUGGACACCUAUAGCCUGAAGAAUAUUGUCAGAAAAAAACACUGGGAUCUGGAAGCGAAAAGGAAACAUAGAAAACGAGACAGGAAGGUGAAGAAAGUUGAAGAUAAACUUUCUUUUUCACAAUGUUUUUAUGGACAAGUUCAGCCCAUAAAUCAAAAAUUACCUUUAUGGAUGAAAUAUUAGUUAAGUCAAGAUCAUCUUUUUCAUUUCCUACAUGCAGGUUGAAUCUCAUUUAUGGAGUGAGAUGUCAAAUAACAACAAAAAAUGCACUUAAUUUGCAUAAAGAUGCUUGUAAGGUAACAUUGCUCCACACUUUGCUUUAUUCACAUCAUUAGAGGAAAUAUCUUAUUCCUCUAGCUGUUUCUGGCCAUGGCUCAAGGAAUUAAAAACUUCCAUUCAUUCCUUCAGACAGUACAGUUAACAAGAGGAUAACUUUUUUUAUUAUCUCUGUCCUUCUCCCUCAGGAAGCAGAGAAUUAUCAGAUUGGUGAGAGAAAGGAAAUAAAGGUCUGAACAUGUGUCUCAAGUCACCUCUUUUGGGAGCACUCUGUUCUCAGUUUAUUUUAAUUCUGUUUCUCAAUUUAAUGAGUUUACUAGAGCAGGGUCCACUAUUACCCUGUGGAGAUCCUUAAUGAUACAUGGAUAUGUUUAAUUCUGGGAAUAAAGUAGUUAAACUGGCUAGUGAUUAUGCCACAUUGUUAGAGUCAUCUUUGUCAAUAAGAAAGUUGUUCAUAUUUAUGACAUCUGUAUCCAUUUCUUCAGAAGUGUGACUAUUAUUCAUAUAUCCCCAAUACACACAAAAUAUAUAGUUUUAACUAAAUUUUUAAUCUGUUACAUAUUUUUCUAGGUUACUAGCUAGAGACAUCCUGGUUGUUUCCAAUUUGUUGUAAACUGGAAAUUUGAUGCUAAACAAGUAGUGUUAUGACAAGCCUUCUUAUUCAUAACUUGACAUGCUUUUGCCAGUAUAUUUUAGAUGAAAUUUUGAGAUUAUGGUGGAGUCAAAUCAUAUGAACACUUUAAAUUUUGCUCCGUUAUUACCACAUUCCUGUGCAAAAGUGACACCAAUUUACAAUGCCAUAUUGUAUAGACGUGUUUCAUGGUACCUUAAAACAAUUACAAUGUUAAUAACAAAGAUAAGUAAUCACAGAGCACUAUGUCAGAUAUAAUACUAAUUUAAAAAGUUUGAAAUAUAAUGACAAUUAACAAAAUGUGACUAGGAGGCUCAAAGUGAGCACAUGCUGUUGGUAAAAUGAUGCUAACAGACUUGCUUAAUGUAGGGUUGCCACAAACAGAAGUAAAAAGUGCUUAUUUGCCGACAACCUUGCCAAAUAUUGACUCUAUAAAAUGGUUUAAAAUUAUUUAUAUUACAGAUACUUUGCUUUGCUAUUUCUAAUUCUCUUAUUUUGUAAACAGUGUUAUUUUAGCCACAUAUGUAUUUCUUUCGCUCUGGAUUUCUCAUUUCAUUUUAAUUUUGUGUGUAUGUCCUUGAUGGAUUCUUUGAAUUUUUGUUUUCAUUGCAUCUUUCUGUAUAAUUAUUCCUGGGAUAUUGUGUCAUUUUUAAAAAUUGCAUUUCGUAGGAUGGAUUCCUAAUACUUUCUUUGCAUGUGCUUUUAUGUUAUUUUAUUUCCUUGUCUUAUUACUAAAAAGUGAUUUUAUACUUGCCAUGAUUUUCAGGUUUCCCAGCUUAAGAUGGACAGUUCUUACACUUUGAUGUAGCAUGGGCAAAUUUGUCUCUACUUUUUCACAUCAAGCUAUAGUUUAAGCAUUGAGUUUUGAAAUGUGCCCACUUUUUCCCUAGCCUGAGUGUGUAGAGAAUAAGCAGAUGAGCUCAAUUGGUGUGCAAUUUAGGUAAAAGACCUGGACUCUUUCUCUUGCCUAAAAUUUUAUUAAGUAUCUAAUCCCAUAGCUUGCUCUCUUUCCAGGAGGCAGUUUUACUGCCGCCAGGGAAAUAGCCUUGCUUUCAAAUCUCUUCCUUAAUUCAGCGCAGAGCCACCAAGGCUUUGCUUGUAUCAAUGAGCCAUCUCAUGUACCUUCAUCCCCCAUUUCACCAGUCUUUUCCUGGCACUUUCUCCCUCUAUUCCUCACUCUAAGACUGAGUGGGGAAUCAAUAUUUGGCUGUAAAGGAGUAUAUGGUGUCUUACCUUGUGUGCUGAAACAAUGUAUUUACUCAAAGUGUUAUGGAUUUUCUUUUUUCUCUACAUUAUGCCAAGACAUAAAUUCUGAGAGUGUUUAUGAUGGUGCCUCUUUUCCCCUCUGCUUUCUUUCCAAGUUAGAGACAUCAAAAUAAUAAGCCUUAACCAUUUUCCUGUUUUUAAAAGAAAUAGUUAAUUUUUAUGGGAAUUAUUAGGUGUCUCCCGGGCUACUCAUGUAAAUCCUCAUUUUAUCUGUUUUUAAAUUGAGUUAUUCAUGAGAUGCUUUCUGCAUUUUGUUUUUUAGGAAAUUUUAGGAAACAAAGAUAAAUGUCAUAUGGUCUUUCAAAUGUCAUAUGGUCUCUCAAAUAUCAUAUGGUCUCACAUCCCCUCCAAACUAUUUUAAAUAUGGCCUGACUUUGGGAAUGAAGGCUUUACUUGGACAUGGAUAUGACUGUAGGCAUUUUCCUUUAUAUUCCUUUAUAACUUACUGUUAUGCAUCUACUAGCAGCUGUUAAGGUCACUCCAAAACUGACAUUCUCUCCCCAUGUUUGCUUCCACUAAAACCCAUCUGGUGAUGGAACUGUGCAUACCUUCAUCAAGUAUUUUGAAAACAAAACAAAACAAAAUAAGCAAAAACAAAGUAAACAAAAGACAGAUAUCUGAAUCAGACAGAAUUAGUUUUGGAUCCCAGUCUGUCACCAGUUACUUGUUUAAAAUGGAGCAGGUUACUUAACAACUCUGAGAAAUAUUUACUUAAAACACUCAAGUAUAAUAUGUAUUUUGCAGACAUUUUGUGAUAAGUAAAUGAGGUAUGUGUGCAUGUGUGGGCUUGUGUAUAAAAUAAACUCUCUUGAUUGGCCUAUAUAACUGUCUUUUUCAUUCAGGAUGAAUGGUGGGUAACUUUUUUACUCACUCAAGCUACAUCGUAUUCUAUUCAGAUUAAUCUAAUUUCUUAUCUGAAAUAGUUAAAAUAUGUGAUAUACUUUGACAAAUAUCAAGGUAAUAAACAUUUGAAAAAGGACACAUUUUUCUCUUCCUUAUUUCCUUAAGCCAAUUCAUUCUUCUACUAUAUUUUAUUUUACAUAAACGUUACUUUAAUUUUAUAUAUGCACUAUGCAAUCUAAAAAGUACAAUUGCCUGUGAUGUCCAUAUACUUUACCUUUCUUAAGAGAGGUACAUUCGUUUAAUUUAUUCUUAUAAUCUAGUUGAUAUGAGUAAAUCUUUUAAAUAACUAGGGGCGAAUUUUGCUCCAAUCCACCUAUAUGAAAAUAUUUAUCAUUUUUAAAAAGGCAAUUCUCUCAGCUUAGACAAAAUAAAACCCAUCUUUACAAAAGAUACAAAAAAAAAUUCGUUGGAUGUGGUGGCAUGUGCCUGUGGUCCCAGCUACUCAGAAGGCUGAGUGGAGACGAGAAGAUCACUUGCACCCACAUGGGUUGAGGCUCCAGUGAGCCAAAUUCUUGCCUCUGCACUACAGCCUGGGUGACAGUGAGAUCUGCAGAAAGAUGAGAUGCUCUUCCAAGCAAGUAAUAGAUCUUUGGGUUGCAGAUAUUGGCAGAACAUUGGCAUAUUCUGGGACCUCAAGCAUUUGAUACCCAAGAAAAUAUAAUUUUAAUGUAUGCUUUCUAAUGUCUCUGCGGAUAUCACCAUGAGGUGCUAACUUUUUAUAUCAGAUAUUAUAACUUUAUUAUUGUAUUAUACCAAGUUGACAUUAUUGCUAUAUUUUCUUUUAUUGAUUUCAAUACUAUAAUUAUAUGUUUGCAUCCAGUAAGAAUAAAUAUGGGA
rnacentral:lncRNA from 1 species